rnacentral:rRNA from 1 species
AUUGAACGCUAGCGGCAUGCCUUACACAUGCAAGUCGAACGAGUGGCGGACGGGUGAGUAAUGUCUGGGAACGUGCCCGAUGGCGGGGGAUAACUACUGGAAACGGUAGCUAAUACCGCAUACCAUCGGAUGUGCCCAGAUGGGAUUAGCUAGUAGGUGGGGUAACGGCUCACCUAGGCAACGAUCCCUAGCUGGUCUGAGAGGAUGACCAGCCACACUGGAACUGAGACACGGCCCAGACUCCUACGGGAGGCAGCAGUGGGGAAUUUUGGACAAUGGGCGAAACCCUGAUGCAGCCAUGCCGCGUGUAUGAAGAAGGCCUUCGGGUUGUAAAGUACUUUCAGUGAGGAGGCGGUAUUCGCAGAAGAAGCACCGGCUAACUCCGUGCCAGCAGCCGCGGUAAUUC